rnacentral:rRNA from 1 species
ACCAGCAGCUAUAUCACCCUGCAACUCACAACUGGCGACCCACUGAAGUUCAGCAGGUAUGUGCCUGCUCAGUACCUGGAUGGGAGAUCUCCUGGGAAAAACAAAGGGUGCUGCUGGAA